UUUCGGCGGGGAUGAUGAAAAUUCAGCUUAUAAUGCCAGUUCUGCUUCAGAAAAUUCUUGAUUGAUAGAGCUGUAAUAUUCCUCUGAGCCCUUU